rnacentral:lncRNA from 1 species
GAAAAAAACAGCUAAUGCACUGCUCCCAUUUUCCCUUGAUGGUUUCCAGCUGUCCUCUUAUCCCUGGCAUACCAAAUGACAUUAAUUAGGUUCAGCUUAUAAAAAUAAGUGGGAAGCAGUAUGCUUUACCCACCUUAUAGAGCUGUACAUAAAUGAUGUGUUACAUACAACAAACUGCAAUUGCAGAUGCUGAGCAACACUGCGGUUAUUAAGCCAGGAGAUGAGUAAAAAGAAAGUUCCUUUGGCAAAGCAGUCAUAGGCAGGAUGGCUUCUCAGACUGUGCAAUGGAAGAAGAAAUGAAUGGAAGUGUAUACCAGAAGAUGAAUGCAACCUUCAAAACACCCUGUUCAGCUUUGUAGAGGGCUCUGGGAGAGUGGUUCUGUGGAGUCUGGAAAUGCUUAAAAAUAGGUACCUCCCCCAUUCCUUAACUGUAUUCCUCUUCCUCUUGAUGGAGUUUCCUAGCCCCGAGGAGGGCCAUCUGGACUGAACCCAGGUAAUUCAGGAGCUAUUUCACAAUUGGAUCAAAUGUCCUUUCCUCAGCAAGAGAGAGAGAAGGAAGAGAGAUAUACUCCUCCUGUUAGAAUAGUUGGGAC